AAACACCAUUGUCACACUCCAU
rnacentral:miRNA from 1 species